rnacentral:lncRNA from 1 species
AUGUGUUUGUUAAUGCAGAAAUCAAGAGCCGUUUAUAAUUUUAGUCUAGAAAAUCUACAGAAGACAUUCAAACUCAGGAGCCUGGACGAGGCAAAGAACGGCAGGAUGAGAGCUCUAAGCUCUAAAACAGCUCCAAGAUGGCCCUGCCUUCUGGACCUCCAGGUCUUCACCUCAAUAGAGUCUCCACUGAGAAUCAUAGAUCUUCAUGCCUGCAAUGUUGCCUCCUUUCUUGGGUCUGGCUGUCUAUUCUUGUUGCCUUUGUCUUUGAUUACUUUCCAGGCCAGGAUGAGUAGAGCCACCAGAGUUAUUAGGAGUGCAAAGAAGAAGAGAACUUUUACUAGGUAAGCAGGAUCAGAUAUGGCAGUGAUGCGUGCACCCUUGUCCCAUAAGAAGGCUGGAAGUUGUGGGGAAGACAUAGGUUCUCAGGGACUUGAGAUAUGUGGUAUAAGCAGACUGCCCAUACAACCAAGAAAACUCUAAGAGAAUUGGGCUUGCUCUUUGUUAUAUCCUAGGAUGGGUGCGGGGCUGUGGCCACUUAUCUGUUGAUCUUGUUGAUCAUGUGGGGCCAUUUUCUUUCGGAUGUGACUGAGCAGGCAGAGAAGUUUGCUCAGCAAGGUUGAACAACUGCUCAUAAUGUCAACACAGUUCUGAGGUGAUAGUUCAAUUAGCAAAACUUCUGGGUGGUGGGUGGGGCUUCUGAGGCUUUGUGAUGUCACCUGAAGGUGUGGCUAGGGUCUGAAUGGAAGGUUCUAGUCCAGAAAUCUCUACCCUCUGAGCAUCACCUCCCUUCAUGUCUGGCCUCCAGAUUGAAAAGAGAAUUUCCCAAUUGCCUGUGAAGAUGCCCUGUCAAUCCUUUUUUAUCUUUCUUACUUUUCAUUUUGAAAUAAUUUUAGGUAUAUAAGAAGUUGCAAAGACAAUACAGAGAGGUCCCAUGUACCCUUCACCCAGUGUCCCCCAAUGGCUAAUCUUGUGUAACUGUAGUACAAAAUCAAAACCAGUGAAUGGACAUUGGAACAAAUCUGUGCAUAUAGUUCCAUGGCAUUUUAUCAUACAUGUAGAUUCUUGUAACUAUCACCAAAAUCAAGAUAUAGAACAAUUCCAUCACCAUGAAGAUCUCCUAGUGUGCACUUUCUACCAGUUGGAGACAGAUAUAGAGAACUUACCUCCCAUUAUGUCUCUUUACACUCUUCCAUUUAUAAUAUAAUUUUAUUCAAUAUUUCCUCUAUAUACAUUGAAAUUCACAUUUAAACAAUGUCAUGCUUUUUUUUUUUUGGCUGAGGAAGAUUAGCCCUGAGCUAACAUCUGUUGCCAAUCCUCCUUUUUUGCUUGAGGAAGGUUAGCCCUG